GGUUGGCAUUAUCACUUAGUUGCCGUGAGCCUCAUUUUAUCUCUUGUGUGUGGAGUUAAUGCUAGUUGCCGUGAACUUUGGAUAAAUUGGUACACUUGGUAUUAGGGGAUCUUGUAAGUUGCCGUGAACCUUGGGAAGGCUUGUGUUGGGCCAUUGCCGUGGACAUCCUUGUGACUUGGGAGUGUGAUCUUGGUUACUUGGUUGUGGGAGUUACGGUUGGCCAUUAUAGUUCCAUUGUGGGGCUUGUUGCCGUGGGACACUCUAGUGAAGGAAGUGUUGCCGUGAGGUUCACUUUGAGUUGGAGGUGACUUGCGAGACUCUUAGUGGUUGGAAGUGUUGCCGUGAGUUCUUGGAGCAUCCUAGCAUUGUUGGUUUGUGCCGUGAGGUUCUUUAGGGUGACUAGUGGGAUUGUGGCCGUGAGCUUUGGUAACUCUUGGUGUUUGGGUUGCCGU
rnacentral:misc_RNA from 1 species